rnacentral:rRNA from 1 species
UACAGAGGUGGCAAGCGUUGUUCGGAAUUACUGGGCGUAAAGGGCGCGUAGGCGGCCAUCUAAGUCAGACGUGAAAUCCCCCGGCUUAACCUGGGAACUGCGUCUGAUACUGGAAGGCUCGAGUUUGGGAGAGGGAUGUGGAAUUCCAGGUGUAGCGGUGAAAUGCGUAGAUAUCUGGAGGAACACCGGUGGCGAAGGCGGCAUCCUGGACCGGUAUUGACGCUGAGGCGCGAAAGCUAGGGGAGCAAACGGG